rnacentral:rRNA from 1 species
GAUGAACGCUGGCGGCGUGCCUAAUACAUGCAAGUCGAGCGAACGGACGAGAAGCUUGCUUCUCUGAUGUUAGCGGCGGACGGGUGAGUAACACGUGGAUAACCUACCUAUAAGACUGGGAUAACUUCGGGAAACCGUAGCUAAUACCGGAUAAUAUUUUGAACCGCAUGGUUCAAAAGUGAAAGACGGUCUUGCUGUCACUUAUAGAUGGAUCCGCGCUGCAUUAGCUAGUUGGUAAGGUAACGGCUUACCAAGGCAACGAUGCAUAGCCGACCUGAGAGGGUGAUCGGCCACACUGGAACUGAGACACGGGUCAGACUCCUACGGGAGGCAGCAGUAGGGAAUCUUCCGCAAUGGGCGAAAGCCUGACGGAGCAACGCCGCGUGAGUGAUGAAGGUCUUCGGAUCGUAAAACUCUGUUAUUAGGGAAGAACAUAUGUGUAAGUAACUGUGCACAUCUUGACGGUACCUAAUCAGAAAGCCACGGCUAACUACGUG